UGAAGUUAUGACGGAGGCUUCGGCCGACUGAAUAAUGGAUUAGUGGCGGACGGGUGAGUAACGCGUGAGUAACCUGCCUUUCAGAGAGGAAUAACAUUUGGAAACGAAUGGUAAUACCACAUAACAUUACGUUCUCGCAUGGGGAUGUAAUCAAAGAUUUAUCGCUGAGAGAUGGACUCGCGUCCGAUUAGCUGGAUGGUGAGGUAACGGCCCACCAUGGCGACGAUCGGUAGCCGGACUGAGAGGUUGAACGGCCACAUUGGGACUGAGACACGGCCCAGACUCCUACGGGAGGCAGCAGUGGGGAAUAUUGCACAAUGGGGGAAACCCUGAUGCAGCAACGCCGCGUGAAGGAAGACGGUCUUCGGAUUGUAAACUUUUGUUCUUGGUGAAGAAGAAUGACGGUAGCCAAGGAGGAAGCCACGGCUAACUACGUGCCAGCAGCCGCGGUAAUACGUAGGUGGCAAGCGUUGUCCGGAAUUACUGGGUGUAAAGGGAGCGCAGGCGGGAAAUCAAGUUGGAUGUGAAAUGUCGGGGCUUAACCCCGGAACUGCAUCCAAAACUGAUAUUCUUGAGUGAAGUAGAGGUAGGCGGAAUUCCGAGUGUAGCGGUGAAAUGCGUAGAUAUUCGGAGGAACACCAGUGGCGAAGGCGGCCUACUGGGCUCUAACUGACGCUGAGGCUCGAAAGUGUGGGGAGCAAACAG
rnacentral:rRNA from 1 species